CAGCACCUCAAGUGGUCAGGAUGAUUAUUGGGCCUAAAGCAUCCGUAGCCGGCGCUGUAAGUUUUCGGUUAAAUCUGUACGCUCAACGUACAGGCUGCCGGGAAUACUGCAGCGCUAGGGAGUGGGAGAGGUAGACGGUACUCGGUAGGAAGGGGUAAAAUCCUUUGAUCUAUUGAUGACCACCUGUGGCGAAGGCGGUCUACCAGAACACGUCCGACGGUGAGGGAUGAAAGCUGGGGGAGCAAAACGGAUUAGAUACCAGAGUAGUCC
rnacentral:rRNA from 1 species